GAGAGUGAAGCUGAAGCGGUUCGGCACUGGUCUUGAAAACCAGCGGGUGUAACAGCCAGGGGUUCGACUCCUCCUCUCUCC
rnacentral:tRNA from 1 species